UAGUUUGAUUACUGUUCGAUUUCCCACAU
rnacentral:piRNA from 1 species